rnacentral:tRNA from 1 species
GCCCCUAUAGCUCAGUGGUUAGAGCACUGGUCUCGUAAACCAGGGGUCUUGAGUUCGACUCUCAAUGGGGGCA